UGACUGGCCUGCAUGGUCAACGGAAAACGGCGUUCUUCCGAAACAGCCUGAGACAGCAGUGGCGAAAGGUAUAGUGGACAGGUAGACCUGACAGCGCUCAGAGAAAACGCACAAUUGAACUUGACACCCUUCAGGCUAUUUUCGCAUUCAGAAGGUUCCGGCGCAAAGACGUAAUGUGCCAUAACCGUAGUAAAGAAGGAGCCUAGUUGCCGUGGAGCACGUGUGAGGUGC
rnacentral:lncRNA from 1 species